GCCACACUCCAGCCUGAAUUGAUAGUUUAUGAAAGCUUGAACCAAGCAAGCUUGAUAAAGAUGCAGCACUUUGGUCAGGGCAACCUUGUUGCUUCAGAGCUUGCUCCCCUCUUUAGCCAGCAAGUGUAUCUAAGCUUGUAUUUCGUAGGAACAUACCGGUGCUGCUCUGCUCCUUACAAGUAGGUGUGUGGGAGAAAGGCUGGGUUGUUAUAACUCCUCAGUGGUUGCUGACUGCACUCUCGCCACCCUGGCCUUGCAGGAUCUUUCCUACCUCACCUCAGUUUGCAUCAUUAUUGCCUUAGGAAUUUGGCUUCAGUUUAAUUCUAGAUUUCCAUCUCCUUUUCUAACUCUCCAUUUGAAGGCAUCCAAAUAAGCUGGAAUUAUUAACUCUUACUGACUGCGAAACUUCUUUGCCGAUUAGGCCACCUGAGAAGAGCAAAAUAUAAUUUUGAGGAAAUUAUGGACACAAUAUAUUGACAUCUCCAUUCAAAGAAGAUGUGCAGACAAGUGCACCCUGAAAUUUACUGAAAUAAGUUCCCUUGGAAUUCCUACAGAUAUUUCACUCAAGAGGUACUGAUUAAAUCAGCUUGGAUUUUGUGAUGUAAAGACAAUGCAUCUUGAAAUGUUUUUGGCCUUGGUUGUCCAUUCUAACCCUGCUCUACUUCUGAGAUUCCCGCAUCAGCCUGAAGCAUGUACCUGUAUAGAGAAGGGGUGAUGAACCCUUUUCAGCCUGUGGGCCACAUUCCCUUCAGGGCAGCCUUCUGAGGACUAUGUACCAGUGGUGGGUGGGGCCAGAGGCAAACGGUGGUGAAGCAAAUAAUGUAAAUUUUAUCUGUAUAGUGUAUAGUGCUCCCUCUAUCCUCCAUCCAGACAAGGAGGCUUUAUCAGAGUUUAGAGGCACUUUCUGGUCAGGCCAAAAUACUUGAGGUGCAAAGAAGGGCCCAUGAUAUUGUGAACUGGGAAAAGUUCUGAGGGGCAGGUGGACCAGAUUUGGCUAUUGUGCCUGAGUAAAAAUCAUCUCAAGAACAUCUAAGGCAAUGUAAGUUGCUGGUUAUAUUGAUGGCUAUUACUUUCACGAAUUCUUGGAUUACUGACCCCCCCCCCCCAUUUUAACAGUGGUGCCAUCAGGGCAGGGUUUGGAGGCAGAGGCCCAGGGUCCCAUUCAGCAGAGUGAAGAGAAGGGCCCCUAAACACAGCAGGGCUGGGUUACCACAAUUUGAAGAAAUUGAAGUAAUUCCAUUAUUAGGGCUGUGCAUGGUCUCCCUAUAUUCGAUCUGGCACUUUGUGUCAGCCCUCACAAAACCCAGGCCAAUCUGGGACUGACCCAAACUGGAUGUGGGCCCCAAAUCAAUUUAAGAGAAUCCCUAAAAUUCAGUUGGGAUUUUAAACCCUGUUAAAUAUGCGGCAGAAAGGGAGAAGACGAUGCUGUGGUUUCUCCUUCUCCAUUUCCCAGCCACAUGUUUAAUCAGAGUUUUAAAUUCCUAAUUAAACAUACAGUUGGGAGGGGGUGGAGGAAGAUGGAGGGGGUGGAGGAAGAUGGAGAUUUAUUCCCUCCUGAACACACUACACAGAGCACGACUGAACCUUGGACUCAGACUUCACUCGUGCUGGGUGCUGCUCCAACAGUGUGUUCCUUGUGGAGAAUGCACUAGUGAAGCAAAUCCCUGCAGAGAGCAGGAUUGGAUCUUCUUUGCCAGUACAUUCACUGCAGGGAGAGGGACACAGGUGGCACUGUGGGUUAAACCACAGAGCCUAGGACUUGCUGAUCAGAAGGUUGGCGUUUCGAACCCCUGCGACGGGGUGAGCUCCCGUUGUUCGGUCCCAGCUCCUGCCCACCUAGCAGUUCGAAAGCACGUCAAAGUGCAAGUAGAUAAAUAGGUACCGCUCCGGCAGGAAGGUAAACAGCGUUUCUGUGCACUGCUCUGGUUCGCCAGAAGCGGCUUAGUCAUGCUGGCCACAUGACCCGGAAGCUGUACGCCGGCUCCCUCGGCCAAUAAAGCGAGAUGAGCACCGCAACCCCAGAGUCGGUCACGACUGGACCUAAUGGUCAGGGUCACUGCAGGGAACAUGCUGGCAAAACACAUCCUAUGGAAGCCAUCUGUCUCUCCUUCCUCCCCCGUACCAUCUGACCGGCCCACUGUUUGACCUCCCCAGAUUGCUCCAGGUGGAGUGAUCCAGGGCUGUCUCAACUUGAUCAAGCCCAAGCUUGAAUCUGUCUGAAUUGGCCUGAUUUAGUUGAUGAUCUGGUCUUUAACGACAUCCUAUUCACAGCCCUUCACAUUGUUUAAAGAACAUCUCAUGUAAGAAGAAGUGUAAGAAGACCAUUACAUUUAGACUAGUCUUUAGAACUACCUAACUACCCAAGUGUACAUAGGAGCAAAAAAAGAGGUAUUUGGAAAAAUGGAAAAAGAGGUGCUUUUAGGAGGCCAUUACUCAGUAGUAGAGCAUCUUCUUUGUGUGCUGAAGGUCUCAGAUUCAACCAGGUAGGGCUGAAAGAGACCCGUCAGAAAUCCUGGAGAGCCACUGCCAAUCGUUGUAGACAGAACUGAGUUAUAUGGAUGAAUGGGCUGUCUCAGCAUAAGGCAGCUUCCUAUGUUGUAGAAACCUUAUUUUAUUAAUAUCUUCUUGUUCUGUUUCUACAUGUGUUUCACUCUAGCUUUCUCAGCCUUCUUUCCUAUCUCUAAAUGAACAAGCUUUUUCAGUGUUAAAAAAAAGUUGCUGUUAAGUCUAACUCAACAUGUGAACUUUAUUUUGGGGGAAAAGGUGUGUUUCCAAAGCUCGUGUCAGUGAAAAACCAGUUUCUGUAAACAAUACUCUGUUUAUUUGGAAAAUAAGGAAAAUAAUGUUCCUACCACAAAUAUGUUCGUGCAAAAUGGUUAAGUACGUAAGUUGUGGCCUUAAAAAACACAACAUGAAUGGAUCAGUCUUUUAUCCUAGCCUGGAAUGAACUCUCUCAUAGCAGUUUGUAUUACAGAAAACUAUUUUUAGACCGUGUGCUUCAAACUGAUCCUUAACAAAUACUACACUUUAUAAGGGCCCUUUUAUUAUUUCUUCACUAUGGGAAAAGAACUAUGCUUUUUAAAAAUGCUUUCUUUUCUGAUGGGCAACAGCUGUAUGCAUUUUGAAAACUGUACAGCAUGUCCCUGUGGAAAUCACAAACUUUGCUGGGAGUACAUAUUUUAUGUCAAACAGAAUAAAGAGUCGAGAGGGUACACAUUCUACAUUGGAUCCCUCUCCAGCUCUCUUCCAGAGGUCACUGCUAUUAGUCAUAGGGGAAACAGGACUUGGAUGACUGAUUCAAAAAUGCAUAUCCAUUUGUGUGUAUUGGUGUACAAGACUGGAGUAGCAAUUCCAGUCCUACUGUUAGGCAGAGUGAGGUGGUUGCCUCAGACUCCUCUGAGCACCAUAAACUAGCCUGCCCUGCACUCCCCAAGCUAGCCUGCUGUCCUCAGGGGCAGUGUGGGGUGCAAUUCAGCUGCUAGUGUUGAAGCACAAUUCAAGUGCCUGGCUUUUCAGCUACUGCAUAUGAAAUUGGGAGAGGAGCACCAUCUUGUCCUUUGCCUCAGGCAGCAAAAUGUCUUGGACCAAUCCAAAGGAGUGUAUUCUAUACAGAGUGAGUAAGCUGACAAAAAGAGAAAUCGAUCUGUUUUAUCUCUUACAAAGUUUUUAUUCUGCAGGGAACAUCAGAUUGAGAAAUUGACUGGAAUUUCAGGGAUGGGGUGCUGAGGGUGGUGAUGCCUGAGAAGCCAUAAUUUUGCAGUGGGCAAGCAACAAAACCAGUCUCCACAAAGUUUGGAGUGAGGCGGUUGUAGUUAUAAGUACUUGUCAUCAAGGUGGAGUUCAAGCCUUACUUGACCAAAUAUUUUAUAGCCCUUCCAGAUUGGGGACUCCAAUGGACUGCUUGGAUGGAUAUUAUGUGCUCUAGCUCAAAAGGUUCCCAAUUGUAGUAGCCUUCGUAGUUGU
rnacentral:lncRNA from 1 species